CUAAGCAAGUUGAAAAACUGCUAAACCCUUGUGAACAUACCUGUAUAGUUGCUUCGGCGGACAGCCCCAGGGCGGGGCCGCGGCCUUUUAUAGGUGUCCGCCGAUAGCACCAAAACUCGUUAUUUUACAGUUACUCUGAGUUAUAAAAACAAAUAAGUUA
rnacentral:misc_RNA from 1 species